rnacentral:rRNA from 1 species
UACGAAGGGGGCGAGCGUUGUUCGGAUUUACUGGGCGUAAAGGGCGCGUAGGCGGCCGCUCAAGUCAGGCGUGAAAGCCCCGGGCUCAACCUGGGAGGUGCGCUUGGGACUGGGUGGCUGGAGUUCGGGAGAGGAGCGUGGAAUUCCCAGUGUAGAGGUGAAAUUCGUAGAUAUUGGGAAGAACACCGGUGGCGAAGGCGGCGCUCUGGACCGAGACUGAGCGCUGAGGCGGCGAAAA